rnacentral:misc_RNA from 1 species
AACGCACCUUGCGCUCCUUGGUAUUCCGAGGAGCAUGCCUGUUUGAGUGUCAUGGUAUUCUCAAUUCUCUAGGUCUUUUGUAAGACUCUGGUGAUAUUGGACUUGGAGGCUAUUGCUGGAACCUUGCAGGUACCUGCUCCUCUCAAAUGCAUCAGUAUGAAUGCUCACUUCAUGCUCAGUGUGAUAAUUAUCUGCACUGUGUCUGAGUGUCAUAAAUUCAUGCUUCAAACUGUCGUCAAGACAAUUCAUUUGACUUCUGACCUCAAAUCAGGUAGGACUACCCGCUGAACUUAA